GAAGCAUACUUACAUAUGGGAUCUCCUGCAACAGCUAGGUCUGAUGGUUCACUGGGAGAGCCAACUCCUGCAGCAUUUAUUGCCAUCGCUCUGAACUGGUAUUUAACACCUUCAAUCAAACGGGGAACAUUAAAUUCCACGCCUUUCAAUCCCACUUUGGUUAUCGGUGCUCGGCUAACACGUGACCAGUAGGCACCUCCCUCUUCUCUCUUCUCCAGCCAGUAGCCAGUAAUUGGAGAGCCGCCGUUGUCCAGAGGAGGAGUCCAGCUCACUAGCAUCGACCCUUUGGUGCGCUCCAAGACUGUUGGCUUUCCCGGAGGUCCAGGAGUGCGAUAAGGAUCUUGAAUGACCACUUUAUCUGAUUUGCAUUCAUCGCUGGUUCCAUAUUUAUUCACUGCCCUAACUCGGAACUCAUACUGACCAUUGGGGAUAAGUUUCCAGAGCUAGAAAUCAGAUGAACAAUAAUUUCUUAAAAACAAUAUACUUACAUUGAUUUUCACUUGUUUUAAAAUUCCAGUUAUUUUGGUAGGGAAGACUGUAAAAAGAAAUACUUCUAUAAACUCAGUUAUCUGAGUUUCUCCACUCAAACAUGGAGAAAGUCAUUUAAAAUGAGAAUGUGUAAAUUUAUUGCACCUAAUAGUGGCUCUCUCAAGUAAAAGAGGAUCUGUAUAUCAAAGUAUUUACUAAGUGGCUUUAUGUGCAAGAUGCUAAAAACUAUACUUAAGCUUUUUGUGUGUGGUUUUGAGUUUAAUCAUUAAAUUCCAAGGUCAUGCUAGAAUGAUGUUAAUUCAGGGUUAUGUCCUUUAAGUGUGCAUAAGAAAAUACUUAGAAGAGUUUACCCCAUAUCUCCUCUCUACAGCAGUGUUGGUGACUUCUUCCCAUUCAGCUUUCUUCCUGCUUGCAUCGCGUUUGUCAAUGACAUAAUGGGUGAUUUCACCCCCACCAUUGUCUAGAGGGGCAUCCCACGUUAAGUGGCAAGAUUCAGCUUUAAUGUCAACAACAGCAAGAUUUCUUGGUGGGGAUGGACGAUCUGAAAAGGAACCAAAGGAGGAGAUUGAGAAGCAAAUUCUUAGACACUGGAUUUCUUUUUUUUAUAAGAAAGCGUGUCACUUACCGAAUACUUCGACAUGGACAUUUCGGAACACUGAGCCAAGGCGAUUAGAGGCAGUCACCGUUGUACUCACGGGCCUUGAUCAUCUUCUCUGUGCAGCGGGACCAUUCAUUUGUGCCAACCAGCUGCUUAUCAACAAAGUAGCCAACAAUUUCCCCACCACCAUUGAAAGCUGGGGGUUCCCAUGCUAGUUCAAUAGUUGUGGAACUUGUGUCAUUGACUCUUGGGACAGGUGGCCCAGGUGGAGCUAGAAUGAAUGCAGACACAGAAAUCAAAACUCACUGAUGGGUACUUCCCUGGCGGCACAGUGGUUAAGAAUCUGCCUGCCAAUGCAGGGAACACGGGUUCGAGCCCUGGUCUGGGAGGAUCCCACAUGCCACAGAGCAACUAAGCCUGUGUGCCACAACUACUGAGCCUGCGCUCUAGAGCCCACGAGCCACAACUACUGAGCCCACGUGCCAUAACUGCUGAAGCCCGUGUGCCUAGACCCUGUGCUGCACAACAAGAGGAGCCACCGCAAUGAGAAGCCCACUCACCGCAACAAAGAGUAGCCCCCGCUCGCCGCAACUAGAGAAAGCCUGCACUCAGCACCGAAGACCCAAUGCAGCCAAUAAAUAAAUAAAUAUAUUUAUUUAAAAAAAAAACAACUCACUGAUGGUUUUAAAAUGCGCAGUAGCUUACGUGACCCCACUUUUUUUUUUCCACAGUGUGUUGCAUGUAAUAUGGGUAAUUAUUGCUUUGUGAAGCUUUUAAGUUAUAAAUACAGAUGUUUAAAAUUUUACACUGCAACCUCAACAUUUGUCUGUAGUCAGUCAUUGCUAGUAUUUAGUUUGAUUUUUUUCCAGCUUGACUGAGAUAUUAUUGACAUACGACGCAUGUAAGUUUAAGGUGUACAAUGUGAUGAUUUGAUACAUGCAUAUAUUGCAAAAUGAUUGCCACAAUAACGUUAGUUAACACCACCACUCCCUCACAUAAUUACCACGUUUGGUAACACUUAAGAUCUACACUCUCAACAACUUUCAAGCAUAUAAAACAGUACUGUUAAUUAUAGUGACCAUGCUAUACCCCACUUUCUUCUUAAGGAAUUACUUACAGAUUGGAUCACGUGCUGUUUUGGGAUCUGAGGGGGGACUGAACUUUCCAGGUCCAGCUGCGUUUUCGGCACAUACUCUGAAGACAUAGGUGAGUCCCUCUAAUAGGCCUUCUACAUUGGUCUUCAAAGAAUUCAGAAGGUUUCGGUUGACACGAGACCAGUGUGUGCUAUUCACCUCACGUUUUUCAAGCCAGUAACCCAAGAUGGGGCUUCCAUUAUCUUUUGGUUCAUUCCAUUUCACUAGCAUACUGUUACUGGUGACAUCUUCCACAAUGGGCUUAUCGGGUGCAUCAGGUGGUUCUGAUUAAAAUUAAAAAGGCAUAUUUGAA
ensembl:lncRNA